rnacentral:rRNA from 1 species
AGAAGCGAAAGUGACGGUACCUGCAGAAAAAGCGCCGGCUAACUACGUGCCAGCAGCCGCGGUAAUACGUAGGGCGCAAGCGUUAUCCGGAAUUAUUGGGCGUAAAGAGCUCGUAGGCGGUUUGUCGCGUCUGCUGUGAAAUCCGGAGGCUCAACCUCCGGCCUGCAGUGGGUACGGGCAGACUAGAGUGCGGUAGGGGAGAUUGGAAUUCCUGGUGUAGCGGUGGAAUGCGCAGAUAUCAGGAGGAACACCGAUGGCGAAGGCAGAUCUCUGGGCCGUAACUGACGCUGAGGAGCGAAAGGGUGGGGAGCAAACAGGCUUAGAUACCCUGGUAGUCCACCCCGUAAACGUUGGGAACUAGUUGUGGGGUCCAUUCCACGGAUUCCGUGACGCAGCUAACGCAUUAAGUUCCCCGCCUGGGGAGUACGGCCGCAAGGCUAAAACUCAAAGGAAUUGACGGGGACCCGCACAAGCGGCGGAGCAUGCGGAUUAAUUCGAUGCAACGCGAAGAACCUUACCAAGGCUUGACAUAUACGAGAACGGGCCAGAAAUGGUCAACUCUUUGGACACUCGUAAACAGGUGGUGCAUGGUUGUCGUCAGCUCGUGUCGUGAGAUGUUGGGUUAAGUCCCGCAACGAGCGCAACCCUCGUUCUAUGUUGCCAGCACGUAAUGGUGGGAACUCAUGGGAUACUGCCGGGGUCAACUCGGAGGAAGGUGGGGAUGACGUCAAAUCAUCAUGCCCCUUAUGUCUUGGGCUUCACGCAUGCUACAAUGGCCGGUACAAAGGGCUGCAAUACCGCGAGGUGGAGCGAAUCCCAAAAAGCCGGUCCCAGUUCGGAUUGAGGUCUGCAACUCGACCUCAUGAAGUCGGAGUCGCUAGUAAUCGCAGAUCAGCAACGCUGCGGUGAAUACGUUCCCGGGUCUUGUACACACCGCCCGUCAAGUCAUGAAAGUCGGUAACACCUGAAGCCGGUGGCCUAA